rnacentral:sRNA from 1 species
CACAGUUUUGCCCAGCGCCGCCUUGGACCUGAGGUGGCGUCUCUAGCCAUGGACAGUCUCUGCCGUGGAGUGUUUGCAGGCAACAGCCGUGAGCUCAGCAUCAGGUCCUGCUUUCCCAGUCUCUUCCAAGCUGAGCAAACCCAUCGUUCCAUAUUACUGGGCCUGCUGCUGGGGUCAGGGCGGACCCCACAGCCAGACUCAGCACUCAUUCGCCAGGCCUUGGCUGAGCGCUGGAGCCAGUGGUCACUUCGUGGAGGUCUAGAGAUGUUGCCUCAGGCCCUUGAAACCCACCUGACUAGUAGGGGGGUCAGUGUUCUCAGAGGCCAGCCGGUCUGUGGGCUCAGCCUCCAGGCAGAAGGGCGCUGGAAGGUAGGGGAACCCCUGGAGUGUAAUGAACCUGUCAGUGUUUCCAUCUUUAUCCAAGUAGUUUAGGCCAGGGCCGAUAGGACUGGAGUUCCUCAUUGUUUUUGUGCCUUAGAAGCUACUUAGACAUGGGCUACCCCAGAAUCCUAGGCCCUAUUUGUGAACCUUCCUCAAAGAGCCUAUGCAAGUCUGUGGAUAGAAGUAGUACUUAUAAGUGGCUUAGAGGUAGGGGAAAGAACCCAGCUUCACUGAACAUUUCAGAACAGCCACACUGGCCUGUCUGGUCCACUUCCUGGAGUACACAGACGAAUGAUUUUUUGUGACGUCUACAUAGUCACCCAAUCUCUUCAUCCGGGGUCAGUACACAGUCUCCCUGGCCACAUGGGUGCCUGGGAAACUGAGAGUGAAGUCUAUUUUCACUCAUCAAAUUCUCACUUUCUGGGUCUCUCAAAUGUUUUCAUGCUCUCAGGUAUCUCUAAGGGACAGCAGUCUGGAGGCUGACCACGUUAUUAGUGC